rnacentral:rRNA from 1 species
GGUUUCCUGCGCAACGUUAAUCGACGCAGGGUUAGUCGGUCCCUAAGGCGAGGCUGAAAAGCGUAGUCGAUGGAAAACAGGUUAAUAUUCCUGUACUUCUGGUUAUUGCGAUGGAGGGACGGAGAAGGCUAGGCCAGCUUGGCGUUGGUUGUCCAAGUUUAAGGUGGUAGGCUGAGAUCUUAGGUAAAUCCGGGAUCUCAAGGCCGAGAGCUGAUGACGAGUUGCCUUUAGGCGACGAAGUGGUUGAUGCCAUGCUUCCAAGAAAAGCUUCUAAGCUUCAGAUAACCAGGAACCGUACCCCAAACCGACACAGGUGGUUGGGUAGAGAAUACCAAGGCGCUUGAGAGAACUCGGGUGAAGGAACUAGGCAAAAUGGCACCGUAACUUCGGGAGAAGG